rnacentral:rRNA from 1 species
AUUGAACGCUGGCGGCAGGCCUAACACAUGCAAGUCGAACGAGUGGCGGACGGGUGAGUAAUGUCUGGGAAACUGCCCGAUGGAGGGGGAUAACUACUGGAAACGGUAGCUAAUACCGCAUACCAUCGGAUGUGCCCAGAUGGGAGUAGCUAGUAGGUGGGGUAACGGCUCACCUAGGCGACGAUCCCUAGCUGGUCUGAGAGGAUGACCGACCACACUGGAACUGAGACACGGUCCAGACGCCGACGGGAGGCAACAGUGGGGAAUAUUGCACAAUGGGCGAAAGCCUGAUGCAGCCAUGCCGCGUGUAUGAAGAAGGCCUUCGGGUUUUAAAGUACUUUCAGCGGGGAGGCGUUACUCGCAGAAGAAGCACCGGCUAACUCCGUGCCAGCAGCCGCGGUAAUAC